rnacentral:rRNA from 1 species
GGCGUGUGACUGCGUACCUUUUGUAUAAUGGGUCAGCGACUUAUAUUCUGUAGCAAGGUUAACCGAAUAGGGGAGCCGAAGGGAAACCGAGUCUUAACUGGGCGUUAAGUUGCAGGGUAUAGACCCGAAACCCGGUGAUCUAGCCAUGGGCAGGUUGAAGGUUGGGUAACACUAACUGGAGGACCGAACCGACUAAUGUUGAAAAAUUAGCGGAUGACUUGUGGCUGGGGGUGAAAGGCCAAUCAAACCGGGAGAUAGCUGGUUCUCCCCGAAAGCUAUUUAGGUAGCGCCUCGUGAAUUCAUCUCCGGGGGUAGAGCACUGUUUCGGCAAGGGGGUCAUCCCGACUUACCAACCCGAUGCAAACUGCGAAUACCGGAGAAUGUUAUCACGGGAGACACACGGCGGGUGCUAACGUCCGUCGUGAAGAGGGAAACAACCCAGACCGCCAGCUAAGGUCCCAAAGUCAUGGUUAAGUGGGAAACGAUGUGGGAAGGCCCAGACAGCCAGGAUGUUGGCUUAGAAGCAGCCAUCAUUUAAAGAAAGCGUAAUAGCUCACUGGUCGAGUCGGCCUGCGCGGAAGAUGUAACGGGGCUAAACCAUGCACCGAAGCUGCGGCAGCGACGCUUAUGCGUUGUUGGGUAGGGGAGCGUUCUGUAAGCCUGUGAAGGUGUGCUGUGAGGCAUGCUGGAGGUAUCAGAAGUGCGAAUGCUGACAUAAGUAACGAUAAAGCGGGUGAAAAGCCCGCUCGCCGGAAGACCAAGGGUUCCUGUCCAACGUUAAUCGGGGCAGGGUGAGUCGACCCCUAAGGCGAGGCCGAAAGGCGUAGUCGAUGGGAAACAGGUUAAUAUUCCUGUACUUGGUGUUACUGCGAAGGGGGGACGGAGAAGGCUAUGUUGGCCGGGCGACGGUUGUCCCGGUUUAAGCGUGUAGGCUGGUUUUCCAGGCAAAUCCGGAAAAUCAAGGCUGAGGCGUGAUGACGAGGCACUACGGUGCUGAAGCAACAAAUGCCCUGCUUCCAGGAAAAGCCUCUAAGCAUCAGGUAACAUCAAAUCGUACCCCAAACCGACACAGGUGGUCAGGUAGAGAAUACCAAGGCGCUUGAGAGAACUCGGGUGAAGGAACUAGGCAAAAUGGUGCCGUAACUUCGGGAGAAGGCACGCUGAUAUGUAGGUGAAGUCCCUCGCGGAUGGAGCUGAAAUCAGUCGAAGAUACCAGCUGGCUGCAACUGUUUAUUAAAAACACAGCACUGUGCAAACACGAAAGUGGACGUAUACGGUGUGACGCCUGCCCGGUGCCGGAAGGUUAAUUGAUGGGGUCAGCGCAAGCGAAGCUCUUGAUCGAAGCCCCGGUAAACGGCGGCCGUAACUAUAACGGUCCUAAGGUAGCGAAAUUCCUUGUCGGGUAAGUUCCGACCUGCACGAAUGGCGUAAUGAUGGCCAGGCUGUCUCCACCCGAGACUCAGUGAAAUUGAACUCGCUGUGAAGAUGCAGUGUACCCGCGGCAAGACGGAAAGACCCCGUGAACCUUUACUAUAGCUUGACACUGAACAUUGAGCCUUGAUGUGUAGGAUAGGUGGGAGGCUUAGAAGUGUGGACGCCAGUCUGCAUGGAGCCGACCUUGAAAUACCACCCUUUAAUGUUUGAUGUUCUAACGUUGACCCGUAAUCCGGGUUGCGGACAGUGUCUGGUGGGUAGUUUGACUGGGGCGGUCUCCUCCUAAAGAGUAACGGAGGAGCACGAAGGUUGGCUAAUCCUGGUCGGACAUCAGGAGGUUAGUGCAAUGGCAUAAGCCAGCUUGACUGCGAGCGUGACGGCGCGAGCAGGUGCGAAAGCAGGUCAUAGUGAUCCGGUGGUUCUGAAUGGAAGGGCCAUCGCUCAACGGAUAAAAGGUACUCCGGGGAUAACAGGCUGAUACCGCCCAAGAGUUCAUAUCGACGGCGGUGUUUGGCACCUCGAUGUCGGCUCAUCACAUCCUGGGGCUGAAGUAGGUCCCAAGGGUAUGGCUGUUCGCCAUUUAAAGUGGUACGCGAGCUGGGUUUAGAACGUCGUGAGACAGUUCGGUCCCUAUCUGCCGUGGGCGCUGGAGAACUGAGGGGGGCUGCUCCUAGUACGAGAGGACCGGAGUGGACGCAUCACUGGUGUUCGGGUUGUCAUGCCAAUGGCACUGCCCGGUAGCUAAAUGCGGAAGAGAUAAGUGCUGAAAGCAUCUAAGCACGAAACUUGCC